rnacentral:rRNA from 1 species
AUUGAACGCUGGCGGCAGGCCUAACACAUGCAAGUCGAGCGGUAACACAGGGAGCUUGCUCCUGGGUGACGAGCGGCGGACGGGUGAGUAAUGUCUGGGAAACUGCCUGAUGGAGGGGGAUAACUACUGGAAACGGUAGCUAAUACCGCAUAACGUCGCAAGACCAAAGAGGGGGACCUUCGGGCCUCUUGCCAUCAGAUGUGCCCAGAUGGGAUUAGCUAGUAGGUGGGGUAACGGCUCACCUAGGCGACGAUCCCUAGCUGGUCUGAGAGGAUGACCAGCCACACGGGAACCGAGACACGGUCCAGACUCCUCCGGGAGGCAGCAGUGGGGAAUAUUGCACAAUGGGCGCAAGCCUGAUGCAGCCAUGCCGCGUGUAUGAAGAAGGCCUUCGGGUUGUAAAGUACUUUCAGCGGGGAGGAAGGUGCUGAGGUUAAUAACCUCAGCAAUUGACGUUACCCGCAGAAGAAGCACCGGCUAACUCCGUGCCAGCCGCCGCCGUAA